rnacentral:lncRNA from 1 species
AUAAUGUGUCAGCCAUAUUGACUUCUAGGACAUAUAUCCAACAAAAAGUAUAUCAAUCACACUGAAAAGAUCAUUCUUCAGCCCAUGAAACCCUAACACCUUGCGAACCCGAUGCAUUGUUGGCCACCGAACCUUUUGGAUCGACAUCAACGACCUCAAGCAUCCCCCGCUUGCUCAAAACUUCAAGAAGAGAUACAUCAACACC